UAGCUCAGUUGGUAGAGCGUGGUGUUUGCAACGCCAGGGUUGUGGGUUCGAUUUCCAC
rnacentral:tRNA from 1 species